UCCCGGCUCACCUGGAYUGCGUUUGGGACUGCGAGGCUAGAGUACGCAGAGGGGGUAGAUUCACGUGUAGCAGUGAAAUGCGUAGAGAUGUGAGAAUACCGAUGGCGAAGGCAGCCCCUGGGUUAGUACUGACGCUCAUGCACGAAAGCGUGGGGAGCAAACAGGAUUAGAUACCUGGUAGUCCACGCCCUAAACGAUGUCAACUAGGUGUUGGAAGGGUUAAACCUUUUAGUACCGCAGCUAACGCGUGAAGUUGACCGCCUGGGGAGUACGGCCGCAAGGUUAAAACUCAAAGGAAUUGACGGGGACCCGCACAAGCGGUGGAUGAUGUGGAUUAAUUCGAUGCAACGCGAAAAACCUUACCUACCCUUGACAUGCCAGGAACUUUCCAGAGAUGGAUUGGUGCCCGAAAGGGAGCCUGGACACAGGUGCUGCAUGGCUGUCGUCAGCUCGUGUCGUGAGAUGUUGGGUUAAGUCCCGCAACGAGCGCAACCCUUGUCAUUAAUUGCCAUCAUUCAGUUGGGCACUUUAAUGAGACUGCCGGUGACAAACCGGAGGAAGGUGGGGAUGACGUCAAGUCCUCAUGGCCCUUAUGGGUAGGGCUUCACACGUCAUACAAUGGUCGGUACAGAGGGUUGCCAAGCCGCGAGGUGGAGCCAAUCCCAGAAAGCCGAUCGUAGUCCGGAUCGCAGUCUGCAACUCGACUGCGUGAAGUCGGAAUCGCUAGUAAUCGCGGAUCAGCAUGUCGCGGUGAAUACGUUCCCGGGUCUUGUACACACCGCCCGUCACACCAUGGGAGUGGGUUUACCAGAAGUAGUAGCCUAACCGUAAGGAGGGCG
rnacentral:rRNA from 1 species